UCUGCCAUUUACUUUCUUUCUUCUAAUGUUAAGUUUUUCAAGAAUCACCUUUGAGACUAAAAAUAGAUGUUUUUAAACAUAUCCUUUAAAAAUGUGUUCAAUUUUACAUGAAUGAUUGCCCAAAAUGAACAAGCUCUUGUUCAAGAAUACAAGUGCUGAGCAACAUUUCCAUUCAAGAUGUUUCUUCUGGUUACUGUAGACCAUGUAGACAAACCAUGCUAUUUGGCACUCAAAAACAAUGAAGAGUCUUCUCUAUUUUUACUAGUCUCCUUAAGAUUUACCUGAGAAAAGGCACUCUUGUCAUACUGCCAAAAGGAAGAAAAGACAGAACCAGAGAAAAGACAAAAACAGAUGAUGGACCAAGGAGGUUUCAGUGCCCUGAGCUGGAGGACCAUGACUGUGAGAAUGAUCAACUCCCAGUCAACCCUGGAAUUGUGCUGGAUCUGCUUCUCCAACUGGAUCCCUACAAAUCUAUGGGGUCUGAUGGAAUUCAUUCCAGAAUCCUCAAAGAGCUGGCUAAUGUAAUUCACAAAGCCUCUCUUGGUUGUUUUUGGGUGGUCCUGGGAAUCCAGAGAGGUCUCAGCUGACUGGAAGCUGGCAAACAUUGUCCCGAUUUUCAAGAAGAGCAAGAAGGAGGACCCCAGAAACUGCAAGCCUGUCAGUCUCAUUUCAGUGCCUGGUUAGUUAUGCAGCAGAUUAUUCUGGGAGGUAAUGAAAAACAUAUGAAAGACAACACAGUCAUUGGUCACAGGCAGCAUGGCUUCAUGAAAGGAAAGUCCUGCUCAUCAAGCCUGAUUUCCUUCUGUGACAAAGUAACCCACCUAGCUGAUCAAUGGAUGCCAGUUGAUCUAACAUUUUUGGAUUUUGGAAAAGUUUUUAAUACUGUCUGUCACAGGAUCCUUCUAGACAAAAUGUCCAUCACACAACUGGAUAAACACAUCAUAUGAUGGGUGAGCAGUUGGCUCAUGGGUCGAGCACAGAGGGUAAUAGUGAAUGGGGGAACAUCAAACUGGCAAUUUAUCACUAGCGGAAUUCCACAGGGCUCCAUCUUAGGCCUGUGCUCUUCAACAUCUUCAUAAAUGACUUGGAUGUAGGACUGGAAGUUUGCAGGGAUCUGGGGCUCCUGGCUAAUGCAAGUUCAAUAUGAGUCAGCAGUGCCCUGGCAGCCAGGAGGGCCAACUGUGUCCUGGGGGGCAUCAGGCAAAGCAUCUCCAGCCGGUUGAGGGACAGGAUUGUCCCACUCUUCUCUGCACUGGUGUGGCCUCACCUUGAAUAUUGUGUGCAGUUUGGGGCAGGUCUUAGUGCCCAAAGGAGGGCAACAAAGAUGGUGAAAGGCCUUGGGGGGAAGCCGUAUGAGGAAGGGCUGAGGUCACUUGGUCUGUUCAGCCUGGAGGAGACUGAGAGGAGACCUCAUCACAGUCUACAACUUCCUUGUGAGGGGAAGAGGAGGGGUGGGCACUGAUCUCUUCUCUCUGAUGACCAGUGACAGGACCUGAGGGAAUGGCCUGAAGUUGUGUCAGGGGAGUUUAGGUUGGAUAUUAGAAAAAGGUUCUUCAUCAGAGGGUGGUUGGGUGCUGGAUCAGGCUCCCCAGGGAAAUGGUCACAGCACAAAGCCUGAGAGAAUUUGAGAAGCAUUUGGACAGUUCUCUCAGACACAUGAUGAGACUCUUGGGGAUGGUCCUGUGCAGGGCUAAGAGUUGGACUUGAUGAUCCUUGUGGGUCCCUUCCAGCUCAGCAUAUUUUCUGAUUCUGUAAUCAGAACUGAAUCAAAGUUGAAGCAUGGCUGUCCAUUAUUUUUUACUCUAUUACUAUUUUGAACUAUAUCUUCACGUCUAAAGUUAAAACAGCAAUGUAUGUUCGUCAUAUUAAGUAUAAACCAGGAUAGAAUAUUCUUAUUACAUGUAACACAAGCCUGUUAUAUUUAAUUAUAUUAUAUUGUUAUUAUUGUAUAUUUUUAAAUUAUAUUAUGUUAUAUUGUUAUCCUGUAUUAAAUUGCCAUCAAAAUCCAUAAAAAUUAUUUUGCAAUAAAGCAGCAGCUUUGAUUCUA